CCCUCCCCAGACAGUCUGCUGAUUCCUGUCUGCUAACUAACUUUAUUUACAGGACUUAUAUGCUGAAACUGUUACAUUUGACUCUCAUCCUUCCUGGGACAAUAGGAGAAUUUUUAUAAAGCAUAAGGCCCUCAUUUACAGUUCAGCUCACAUGAUGAGCUUUAUCCUGCAUUUGCCAAAGGAAUGUGCUACAAAAAUAUUUUCUGUUUUCCUCUGUUACUCAAUUUUGUGAAACAUUUUGGGGUAUAAUUUACGAAAAUGUGACAGCAGUGUUUUAUAAACUGCUCUCUUACUGGUUUAAGUUCUUCCUUCCCUGUGCUGAUAUUUUGCUUAAAGGACACUCGUGGCAUUUCAGUCUGGGCAAUGCAGAGUUCCAAGAAUUGGCACAUCCCCUUUUCCACUGAUAUUUCUCAUUUUCCUUUAUGUGAGUUAGAGAGAUCUAUCCUUUUCAUGCAGAAUAAAGCUGAUCCUGCAAGCUGGCCUAAUUGUGGUCGCUCAGAUAAAUAAAUCUUGCAGCUUUCAUUUCUGAAAGUAUGAGCUAGUGUGGAUACUGCAGCCCCAGUCCUGCCAUCUCAUCUGCAUAAAAGUGAAUUAGAAACUAGGACAAGGUGACUUUAGGUCAAAGUCUUGUAGUUAUCCAUACAACACUUAGGAGGAUCCGGUAGCUGGAAGCAGCUUUGUCCUACACUGCUGGUGCUUCUUAGCUGGGACUUAGAAAAAACUACGCAAACUCAAAGGCUCCCAUGUACAGGGAGCUGUGAGUCUGUCGUUGGGCAUUUUGGGGUGGGCAUCCUAAAACUGGACUGGGAUCAUCUGGCUCGUUUGUCACAGGCCACCAUUGCAUUAUUCCAGCUGGAGAAAUGUAGAGAUGAAAGUCCUCUUUAUCCCAUUAGAAUGGCUGCCUUGUGUCACCCUAGAUAGUCACUGGCUGCAUUGCUGUGGCAGCCAAGUGACUUAGGAUAAAGUGCACACUGGCUCUGGGGGGCAGACAGCUUUUAAUUUCAUCUUUUAUUUCAGUUUCUGUCUCAGUAUCAUGCUAUUAUUACAUAUUAAGAACCCAUAGGUCUUUUUGGUGAAAAUGUGAAAAAUCUGAGCAUUUUGUAUCUAUUCAUGAAUGGUUUCAAAGUGUUUCCUCAAACCAUUAACUGAGUAAUGUGUUUUUCAAAAUGCUGUUAAAUUAGCCGGCUAAAUAAGGACUUUGUCUUGCAACAUGUCUCGAGUCAGUAUGAUCAUCCCUGAUUAUUUCUUAGUUAACGUUUUAUUAUGCUUCAAGUUACUUUCAAAAUAUCCCCUCCCCAUUCUAACUGGUGGUAAUUUUUCCAACAAUUUUCUGGUGUGUAGAAACACUUUUUCAUUUCAGAUCAUGAGCUAACUGAUUAAAUAUAAUUAAUCUGAUCUAGUAAUAUUUCAGUAUUAACAGCAGCAGUGCUCUUCACAUAGGACGUCCCAGACUUUUUGUUUCUAGGUGUGCCCAGUUCAUGAUAACAUUUUAUUAUUCAGAAGUAGGAUGGUAUAGGACAAAGAUGAUUAAAGAGUCCUAGAGCUGAGGAGAAUUAAAUAAGUGUACUAAGCGGAACCACUUCAGCUUUUCAGUUGGAAAAAUGACAGUGGAGAAAGUCUCAUAAACUCAGUGAUUCGAUCUGAGGCUUAAAGUCUAAUGUCAAGGAAUUCAUGUGAGGCCAUGUGAAGUGGGAUGAGGCUGCUGACUGUCAUAUUAAUAGCACCAUGAUUACCACUCAUCUUGGAGCCUGAUGAGGUUCCGUGUGGUAUUAGAAGCAGGAGAAGGGUGAAGAGGUAAAUUGGAGACCAGGAGUUGUGCAGGUGACAGGUUAAUAGGUGAGCUAUUUUGGUUAGUUAUGUGUAAUGAAUGGCACUGAGGAUUUUAUAAACUGUAGUAGUGUUUCCAGUGGUGGUUUUGAGGUCAUAUGACAUAUGUAGGCAGUACUUAGCCCCCAAGCUGACAAUAGGCCACAUUGUGCUCUGCUGUCUCACUACAAACCUUCCCUUUCAGCAGGCUCUCAGGCUGGCAUAUGCAAGGACUGGGUCAUUAGAGAGGAAGGUGUCUGGAUGUCCUGAAGAAUUCUGAAGUCAGGAGUGCAGUUUAACUUGUUUUCUAAUCCUCCUUAAUUUUUUUGUGACCAUUUGAGUCACAGUACUUGACAUUUCAUGUCUCUGUCCUUACUCUUUUUCUUUUGGAACACAGUGUUGAAAUGCCUUUUUGUCCAUCCUGCUGCUUGUUAAUCUUUCUCAUAUAAAUUUUAAAGAAAAAAUUACAGGACAGACCAAUGUUUUCAUCUGUUUUCCAGCUCAGGGAGACCAAAACAUUCCAGAACUGUUUCAACAAUAAGGAAUAUAACUGAAUCUAUGUACAAAGUGUUCUUUGUGUGUGCAGUCACAAAGCCUCUGAAUUUCCAUAUCAGAAUGCAAACCUUCUAAACAUUUCCAUAUCAGAAUGCAAACCCCCUUUUGACUAUAAGGUUGGACUUUUCCCCCGCUCUGUGAAUUUAUGUACAUCUUGGACUAAGAUUGCAAGAGGAAGGACACUGCAUUCUAAGAGUCAAUGCUUGAUGGUCAUCCACUCUGAUCCAAUACUUGUGGCAUAAUGGAUAUUAAGUAAUCCCUAAGACAAACUAGUGUUUGGAUUUUAAUUCUGGGAAUGGAGAGGAGACCAAGGUGUCUAUGCAACAGAUGUGGCUGAAGGAUAAAGAAGAAAAGGUCUCAACAAUGCUCUUUUUUAUGAAAGAGGAUAUGGAAAAGAAACUGUCCAUAUACAUGGACAUCUUCUGCUUCUCUGCAAGAUGGAGAAACCCUGGGCUGAACUAAUUUUGGCCUUACAACCCAAGUGCUUCAAGGGAGCUGAGGACAAUGUAGGGCUUGUUAUUUUGCCUAGAAAUUUGAACUUUUCUGCUAUAAAGAGUACUAGUGCUUAGAAAUUUUAGUCUGGAUGUGUCUUUGCAUCACUACCACCUCUGCCUAAGAGAUGAAAUAUAAACCAGGCUGGUGUCCUCAGAAAGGGCACGUUUGAGCUUUGGGUCAUCCCAGAGUCAAUGCCAACAAUGCCCAAGCACAGCAGUCAGCAGUCCCAGUUCUGAUGAAUUCUGCAGGCACAAAUUGCAGCAAGCUCAGUUCGGGGUCCAGCAGCCCAGUGAGUCCCCUGCUAGGGAGAGUUCCAAGAGGUUUAUGCUGCUAAUCAUUCCUCCAUUUUUGUGUCAAUUUGCUUCAGCCACAGCAGCUGAAGGCAGAUGUAAGAGUGCAGUGAUGCAAUCGCUGGAGCUACUGAUGGAAAAUGAAUGCAGCAUCAGCUGCAGGAACAAAAGCAUUUAACACCAUUAGACAGCUCCUUGAGGCUGCGGGAUGAAGCCCUGGCAGCAGCCAUGCUCCUCUAAGUCCUGACUGAGCCUGAUGUGGGGAUGUUGUGCUCUGCUCCCCAGCCCAGCCUCUCGCCAUUUCCAGCUUGCCACAGGGACUUGCUCUCCAUGUCUGGAUUCUGCUUUGAUCCUCUUCUGUUUCUCCUGCCACACAUUAGUAAAUGCACUUGCAGUAAAAUCAAUGGGAGUUUGAAAACUAAAAGUAAUGUGUGCUUUGGUAUGCUACUAAUCCACUUAUUUGGAUCCUCUUACUGCUCCUCUGGGCUGUCCUGAUCCUCUCUAUCAGCCCACCCAGCUGCUCUGAUCUGCUCUCUAAACUUCUGCCGUGGC
ensembl:lncRNA